AGUCAUGGUUUUGUCUUAAAGGCCAUCAGAGUCAUGCCUGUUUUUUUCUGCUGAAUUUGGUGGGCCCUGAUUGCCAUUUUUUUCUUUAUAUUUUGUCUUCUUUGUCUCUAUCUCUCUCUUUCUGAGGUUUUAGUCCUUCCAGGAUCUCGGCUGAGGGAUCUCCACAACUGCCAAGAGCUAGGCCAUUUCCCUUUCCUUUCCUUUCUUGGUCUAAACCAGAAGCUGGUCUUCAAGGAGGCAAAGACCAUCAAAGUGCCCAAGAAUAAAUAGCAAUUCAUAACAGCCUUUGCUAAUAUGCUUAAUUUAGAGCUCUGGAGUCCAAGCCCUAGCCACAUCUCCUCUGUAUUGCAUUUUCUUAUGAAGCACUUGACCUAUUUACUCCUUUUUGACCUAGCAGAUUAUGAAAUAUAAGAUGGAAAAGACGUGACCAAAAUUAGAGGUUUAAAUAAAUAACUUUUAGUGUAUGAGAAGGCCAAAUUCACUGUAACUGUAAACAUGUAUAUAUAUAUUUUUUUUUUUACGUGAGCCAAAUCUGAACACCCUUUUACUUUGGGUAAAUUUGAAGGAAUCUGAGCUUCGCAUCUACUCUGUGUCUCAGUCCUGUGCCAAAUGAAAGCUCAAACUAGAACUUAGAAAGCCAAUACGUUAGCUUAACUUGUUCAGAUAAUUAUCCUCUGAACCAAACCUCCCAAGCAUGUCCUAUUGGGAAUUAUACUUAAUUAAAUUAAGAUUUCAGUCUUCUUCACCAAUAUCUUCAUCUCUGAGUAGGAGCCUUGGGCGAGGUUGAAAAUGAAACUUUCUUCCUUUGCUUCAAGGCAGCUUUGUCUAAAUCUCCUCCAGAAUCAAAAGCACCAUGUGCACCUAUUAAAACUCUCUCACCACAAGGUGCUUUGCCAGCAUUUCUGAAUACCCAGUUCCUACAGGUAACUCAGUGUGCUUUCAUCUUGUGUGAAUUGUAAAAGAAGGCAUCAGGGUUUAUUAAAGAGUUUGUGUUGCUAACGUGUCAUACAUCACGCCAUUAAUUAAGAGAAAUUCCUUUUUCCCCAGCUGGGUGGCUACAUAGUGCUGCCAGCAUGUAUAUAUUACCCGUGUCUUCCCACCCUGGCCUAACCCAAAAGCUGCAUGACUGAUUGUACCCCAGAGAAGCUCCAGCCUCCUCAGGUAAUUCGAUUGCUGAGUCUCCAAAACCAAGGAAUUAAACAAACCGGGCUCUGCUCCCCUUGUAAUUAGUAACAGAGCGAGCAGAGCAAAGUGGGGUGCGGCGUGUCCAUGUGUUCCCAAUCUCAGCCCACACAAUGAAAAUGUUUUAUUUCUGGGACAAUCUGAAGAAACCUCACAGGGAUCUGAGGGUUUUAUAUAUAUAUAUAUGCGUGUGUGUAAUAAUAAUAAUUAUUAUCCUCAUUAGAAAGUUAACUCCAAAGCUCUGCGACGUGCUUUAAAAAUUGGUGGGAGAGCUGAACGAUGUGCCAAAGAAUCUCUGCCCACACAUGACCUCUCGCAUCACUCCUCUUGCUCGGAGCAACGCUCGGACAGGGGCCAACCGAUGCCUCUGGCGCUGCUGUGCGGAGCACAAGGCUGACGUUCGCCUGCCUGCAGCUGCGACUGGACAGUUAAGCAGUCACAGAGGGUUUUAUUUAUCCAGCGUGGUCAAAGAAGCGGCACACACUCACCUAACAGCCCCCCAGAGUUCUGUGCUUCUCGCCAGUAUUCCUCCUCCAGGUUCCUGAGGAUUAGGGACACAAAAUGGGAUGCUGGACUGUUAUUUUACAGUACCCUUUGUGAUCUGCUGCCAGGUCGUCGCUUCUUGAGUGUGGGAGUUUCCUUAUGAUCUUUAGGAAGCGAAGGACAGACCUGCUGAAAAGACACCUAUAAGCGCACCAAUUACACAUGCUUUGGUUUUA